rnacentral:rRNA from 1 species
GACGAACGCUGGCGGCGUGCUUAACACAUGCAAGUCGAACGGUAAGGCCCUUCGGGGUACACGAGUGGCGAACGGGUGAGUAACACGUGGGUGAUCUGCCCUGCACUUCGGGAUAAGCCUGGGAAACUGAGUCUAAUACCGGAUAGGACCACUGCCUGCAUGGGUGGUGGUGGAAAGCUUUUGCGGUGUGGGAUGGGCCCGCGGCCUAUCAGCUUGUUGGUGGGGUGAUGGCCUACCAAGGCGACGACGGGUAGCCGGCCUGAGAGGGUGACCGGCCACACUGGGACUGAGAUACGGCCCAGACUCCUACGGGAGGCAGCAGUGGGGAAUAUUGCACAAUGGGCGCAAGCCUGAUGCAGCGACGCCGCGUGAGGGAUGACGGCCUUCGGGUUGUAAGCCUCUUUCAGCUAUGACGAAGCGCAAGUGACGGUAGUAGCAGAAGAAGGACCGGCCAACUACGUGCCAGCCGCCGCUGUAA